rnacentral:rRNA from 1 species
CAGCAGCCGCGGUAAUACAGAGGGUUCGAGCGUUAAUCGGAUUUACUGGGCGUAAAGCGCGCGUAGGUGGUUCGCCAAGUUGGAUGUGAAAUCCCCGGGCUCAACCUGGGAACUGCAUCCAAAACUGGCGAGCUAGAGUAUGGUAGAGGGUGGUGGAAUUUCCUGUGUAGCGGUGAAAUGCGUAGAUAUAGGAAGGAACAUCAGUGGCGAAGGCGACCACCUGGACUGAUACUGACACUGAGGUGCGAAAGCGUGGGGAGCAAACAGGAUUAGAUACCCCGGUAGUCCCUGUCUCUUAUAC